GUCGAGAAUCUUCCGCAAUGCGCGAAAGCGUGACGGAGCGACACCGCGUGAUGGAUGAAGUCCUUCGGGGCGUAAACAUCUUUUAUAAAGGAGGAAAUUUUUGACGUUACUUUAUGAAUAAGGGGCUCCCAAUCUCGUGCCAGCAGGAGCGGUAAUACGAGAGCCUCAAGCGUUAUCCGGAAUCAUUGGGCGUAAAGGGUGCGUAGGUGGUUUGAUUAGUCUCCCGUUAAAACUUCGAGCUUAACUCGAAAAGAGCGGGGGAAACGGUCAAACUAGAGUAUGUGAGAGGUGUGUGGAACUCAUGGUGUAGGGGUGAAAUCCGUUGAUAUCAUGGGGAACACCAAAAGCGAAGGCAGCACACUGGCACAUCGCUGACACUGAGGCACGAAACCUAAGGUAGCGAAUGGGAUUAGAAACCCCUGUAGUCC
rnacentral:rRNA from 1 species